rnacentral:misc_RNA from 1 species
GAUGAAGAACGCAGCGAAAUGCGAUAAGUAAUGUGAAUUGCAGAAUUCAGUGAAUCAUCGAAUCUUUGAACGCACAUUGCGCCCCCUGGCAUUCCGGGGGGCAUGCCUGUUCGAGCGUCAUUACAACCCUCAAGCUCUGCUUGGUGUUGGGCUCUGCUGGGACCGGCAGGCCUUAAAAUCAGUGGCGGCGCCGCUCGGCUUCAAGCGUAGUAAUUCUUCUCGCUUCGGAGACCCGGGUGCGUGCUAGCCAGCAACCCCCAACUUUCUUAGGUUGACCUCGGAUCAGGUAGGGAUACCCGCUGAACUUAAGCAUAUCAAUAAGCGGAGGA